CAGGGCUCGAUCCUAUCCCCACAUUGUUUAACAUCUACAUAAAACCGCUUUUCAGUCAAGGCUUGGCUAAGGUCAGCUGCUACUCUUUGGAACAGGGAGCAGAGCUUAAGCGAUACAGAAAUUAAACCAACAGACUACGGGAGAUAACUUAAAUUAAUUUCUCAGUUUAUUGAUAUACAAAACUUGGGAGAACGAAAUGACAUGAAGUGCACUUGUAAAUGACUCAGCAUACAAAACAUUUCCACCCAUCUUACUGUUCAUGUCAACAGGACUACACAAAACCUGGGCUAAGAAGGAACAUAAUCUCUUUCAGACGUGGAGAAGGAAGAACAUGGAUGAGCAGGUGUGUUUCCUUUAUGUACUUCUGGACAUAGGGAACAUGGAAUAUUUUAAGAAUCAUACGUCCCUUUAAUUUCUGGUUGUCAGGUGCUCCUUUGUGUUCAGAUCAGGCCUCAGCACAAUAAUGUAGCACUUGGGAAGGAAGAUGCAGCCCAGAAGCCCAGCACUGGAGGCCAACAUAGAGAAGAUCUGCACGGCCACCAUGUACUUGCCCUUGGUGCUCAGAAAUACCUUCCCCCUUGGAGUCACCCACCUUCCUGGGCGGAGAAGGUCCCUUCCGCACACCGAGCACAAGCAUAGCAGCAAACCGGCUUUCCUUCUAGAACCAGCUUGGCAUAUCCAGGUCGACAUCUUUCUGUACACCUGGAACGAGGUACAUUCUAACCAGAAAGACAAGAAGGUGCAAGAAAGAGGAACAGUUAGGAGUAUUUGUGGGUAUGCAAUUCACUCAUAGGGCUGCGGGUGGCGCUGUGGGUUAAACCACAGAGCCUAGGACUUGCUGAUCAGAAGGUCGGACGUUUGAAUCCCCAUGACGGGGUGAGCUCCCGUUGCUCGGUCCCAGCUCCUGCCAACCUAGCAGUUCAAAAGCACGUCAAAAGUUCAAGUAGAUAAAUAGGUACCGCUCUGGCGGGAAGGUAAACGGUGUUUCUGUACGCUGCUCUGGUUCGCCAGAAGCAGCUUAGUCAUGCUGGCCACAUGACCCAGAAGCUGUACGCUGGCUCCCUCGGCCAAUAAAGCGAGAUGAGCACCGCAACCCCAGAGUCGGCCACAACUGGACCUAAUGAUCAGGGUCCCGUUACCUUUACCUUAAUU
rnacentral:lncRNA from 1 species